rnacentral:rRNA from 1 species
GACGAACGCUGGCGGCGUGCUUAACACAUGCAAGUCGAACGGAAAGGCCCUGCUUUUGUGGGGUGCUCGAGUGGCGAACGGGUGAGUAACACGUGAGUAACCUGCCCUUGAAUUUGGGAUAACUUCAGGAAACUGGGGCUAAUACCGGAUAGGAGCUCCUGCUGCAUGGUGGGGGUUGGAAAGUUUCGGCGGUUUGGGAUGGACUCGCGGCUGAUCAGCUUGUGGGUGGGGUAGUGGCUUCCCCAGGCUUUGACGGGUAGCCGGCCUGAGAGGGUGACCGGCCACAUUGGGCCUGAGAUACGGCCCAGACUCCUACGGGAGGCAGCAGUCGGGAAUAUUGCACAAUGGGCGGAAGCCUGAUGCAGCAACGCCGCGUGCGGGAUGACGGCCUUCGGGUUGUAAACCGCUUUCGCCUGUGACGAAGCGUGAGUGACGGUAAUGGGUAAAGAAGCACCGGCUAACUACGUG